rnacentral:rRNA from 1 species
AGAUUGAACGCUGGCGGCAUGCUUUACACAUGCAAGUCGAGCGGCAGCGCGGGAGCAAUCCUGGCGGCGAGCGGCGAACGGGUGAGGAAUACAUCGGAACGUGCCCCGGAGUGGGGGAUAACGCCGCGAAAGCGGCGCUAAUACCGCAUAUGCUCUGAGGAGGAAAGCGGGGGACCUGUGAGGGCCUCGCGCUCUGGGAGCGGCCGAUGUCCGAUUAGCUAGUUGGUGGGGUAAUGGCUCACCAAGGCGACGAUCGGUAGCUGGUCUGAGAGGAUGAUCAGCCACACUGGGACUGAGACACGGCCCAGACUCCUACGGGAGGCAGCAGUGGGGAAUUUUGGACAAGUGGGGGCAACCCUGAUCCAGCCAUGCCGCGUGCGGAAGAAGGCCGUUCGGUUGUAACCGUCUUUAGUACGGAAGAAAGAUCGACGGAUAACGACCCGUGGUUCUUCGACGGUACCGGCGG